GCCGCGGUAAUACGGAAGAUGCAAGUGUUAUCCGGAUUUAUUGGGUUUAAAGGGUGCGUAGGUGGUUCAAUAAGUCAGUGGUGAAAUCUCUUUGCUUAACAAGGAAAUUGCCAUUGAAACUGUCGGACUUGAGAAUGGACGAGGUAAGUGGAAUUCGUAGUGUAGCGGUGAAAUGCAUAGAUAUUACGAGGAACUCCAAUAGUGUAGACUGCUUACCAGACCAUUUC
rnacentral:rRNA from 1 species